GUAGUAAUGGGGAUGGAGGUGGUCAUG
rnacentral:piRNA from 1 species